CCCUGGCGGCGGGCGGCGGCGCGCAGGGCCCGCCCCCAGCCUCGCGCUCGCGCCGCCGCCGAUCGCCUCAGCCCAACAUGGCGAUGCACAACAAGGCGGCGCCGCCACAGAUCCCGGACACCCGGCGGGAGCUGGCCGAGCUCGUGAAGCGGAAGCAGGAGCUGGCGGAAACGCUGGCCAACUUGGAGAGACAGAUCUAUGCUUUUGAAGGAAGCUACCUGGAAGACACUCAGAUGUAUGGCAAUAUCAUCCGUGGCUGGGAUCGCUAUCUGACCAACCAGAAAAACUCCAACAGCAAAAAUGACCGAAGGAACCGCAAGUUUAAGGAGGCAGAGCGGCUCUUCAGUAAAUCCUCAGUGACGUCGGCAGCUGCCGUGAGUGCGUUGGCAGGCGUUCAGGACCAGCUGAUUGAAAAGAGGGAGCCGGGCAGUGGGACUGAAAGUGAUACGUCUCCAGACUUCCACAAUCAGGAGAACGAACCAAGCCAGGAGGAUGCCGAGGAUCUGGAUGGAUCUGUGCAGGGGGUGAAACCUCAGAAGGCCGCCUCCUCCACUUCCUCAGGCAGCCAUCACAGCAGCCAUAAAAAGCGCAAGAAUAAAAACCGGCACAGCCCGGCUGGCAUGUUUGAUUAUGACUUUGAGUAUGUAUAUUAGGUUAGGCUGGGAAGUUUUUUUUAAAAACAGAAAAACGUGAUGGAGGAUUGAUCUGAAGUUAAACAAAAAACCUCGAGCCGACUAUUAGAAGACUCCUCUGCAGAAGCCUCCAGCUGUGUGGAGCCCCGCUUCCCUCCGACCUCACAGAGACAUGCGUCCUGCAUCGGAGUGUGUGGCCACCCACCUCUGUCCCCUAGACCCAGUGCUUGUGACUCUGAGUAGCUUGUUGUGAAUGUGGUGACAAGUCAUUUUUGUAAGACAUUGGAUCACUUACCUUAUGUCAUUUUCAGUAACAGCUGCAGGAAGACCAAGUCCUGGUGAUACUCCCAGCGGGUUGCUAACUGCAUUUCUCCCUUCUCAGAAUGAAUGAAUGCCUUCAGACAGGCUGGCACCCACCUCAGCUGUGGUACCUGUUGAGAACUGUUCUCUGGUUUUGGUUUGUGCUGAACGUCACAUUUGAGAUGGAAGCUGUAAAUACCAGGCAUCGUUUUGUUUUGUGUCCUUGUUUUCUGAUCGUAGCCCUCACCUUUCUUUUGGGACUUUUUGUAAUGCCUUAGGAUAGCUCACCUCUUCCUGUCAGCCUGCACUGGAACGCUGGAGCGUGCCUGGUCGCCUGUGUCACGCAGUGGCCAGCAUUCCUCAUGGACAGUAGUCUGCUUGGCCAUAGGUAAAGCAGGAAGCCAGCUCUCUGCCCCUGUGUUUAUUUAAUGAUUACCUGUCUCAAGUGUUUCUGAGUUAGUAGCGAGUUCACAUCCAAGGAACAGGAAAAGCUGAAGAACGUCUGUUUAAGUCAAUCCUUUUAAAAUUGAUCUUUUUAUUCUUUUUGUAUGAAUAAAAUUUCACAGCUUUGAUGUCUCAUGAACAA